AGUAGUUCCUCAUAGCGUCGGCGCGCGACGAUGACUUGGGCCAGAAAAAAAAAUGACAUAGCAAGGACGCAGGCGAGGAAAACGCCUUCGGCGACGGAUCAACGCUGCCCCCCGCGCGCGAUGGGACCUUCCGGCUGUGCCGGCGCCGGCGCGGGUGCGUGAUGGUGCGGCCGCCUGGCCUUGAUGAGAACAACGACGGGGACGAAGCUCAUUCCCUCCCCCGCGACCGGCGGCGCCGGUGGCCUGUGUCCGGGCCGCCUGGGCGCCUGGCUGACCGGCUCUCGCGGGGCCGGACCUUCCGAUCCCAUCGGCAGAUUCGGUUCCGAACUUCCAAUCAAUCAUGUGCUCGACGAAAUGCCAGUCUAAGGUUUUCACAGUUUCAUUGAUGUCUCAUGUAGAUGUUUGGCCUGGUGUCAUUGAUGACGGCAAACAGAGGGACUGUGGUUGGCGAUCAUCCAGGUGAUCUGAUAUAUAUCUCGUCAAUUGUACCAAUCUAUUCUGUUCUCACUAACUAAGGGGGUGUUUAGUUCCUCAUAGAAUCCAAAAUGCAAAAUACCAACUACUAUGCAAAAUACCAAAAUUUUCAGUGUCAUGUUUAGUUCCAUUCAAAAUAAAGAAUUUAUCGUUA